rnacentral:pre_miRNA from 1 species
GAGUGGAGAGGGGGGAGGAGACAGGGAUGGAGCAGAGCAAGGGAUGAGGCAAGCAACAAAAUUUACCACCUGAUUAUGAGAAGAGGGAGAGAGUUGCCAGAGCUUCUGUUGCUGUUGUUGCUCCCUCCCUGCACUGCCUCUUCCCUGGCUCCCCUCCCAAAUCUCUCC